UUAUCUUCAAGUAAAGCUAAAUGUGAGCCACACCAACUUCCUUUAGUUCUUGAGAAUUUGUUGUCGUCCUUUGGAUUAACAGUCUGCCACAGUGCUCAUGGCUCUUGCAUUCACUCAAGAAUCAGGGCAAGUGUGGUGAGUGUCGUGCUUCUGAAUAUGUUGUUCUACACUUGACAUUGCAGCGCUCAUCUAUUAGAAUUUGCAUUAUUGCCACAAAUGAUUCCAGUAACUAGAAUCCAUGUUAGGGAACAGAAGCUGACAAGUACAAGCUAACCACCCUUGCCUAACUCGUUUGCCUGUCGUACUUGGAAAAAAUCUGUACUUGGCAAUCUACUACUUUUUAUUUGAUGUUUGGUUCAGGAAAUAGGACCUAGCUUCAGUUACAUUAACUAUCGAUUUGUUUCAGGGACAAUCUCUAUUCUUAGCAAAUUCCCAUGUUAGAGAAAAUUUGUAGUAUAAAUUAAGUGACAUCAUGAAAUAUUUUGAAUCAAGAUAACAAAGAAGAAUUACAAGUUUGAUAAAGCACGAGGGAUCAUUCAUUCAUUUACUUAUGAUCCCUUUAAGACUGCUGCCUCUUUGUUAAUACAAGACUAUUAGUAUAUAUCAAACCCCUAAACUUGCUUUGGUUUUUGAAUGUGAUUUUUAACCAGCAACAUGGACCUGUCACUCAUCUGUAAUGCAUGUCUUCUUGCUAAAAUAAGUUUAGUAAUACUGCUAUGCACAUGCCAUACCCACAGCGCCAAAAAGCAACAACAAGUAUGGUAGCCUAAUUAGUAGCGCACCUUACAGCCUUAGUUGCAUCCUGAUGCUUUACAUCCUCUAGAUGUUUUUUUGAUUUUUUUUGCAUCCUCUAGAUGAACUCUUUUUACUGAACCUUCUACCGUUGUUGGUAGUUGAUGUUUAGAAGUCCAAGCAGCUGAACGUUUUACAGAUUCAUACAUACCCCCUGUAACGAAGAAGUGGGUGUUUCCAUGGAUGGAUCGGGUUUAAUCUAUGCAUAAAUAUCACGCUUGAGGUCAGUUGUGUUUUCUCAGGUUUAGUAGGAAUGACAAUUGUUUUCAGAAGCAAAAAAACUUGAAUUGGGAAUGGAACCCUUGAUGGAUUGAUGUUUGCUGAAGAAAGUCCUUGCAGCAAAGAAGAACAUGAAGCAGUCCAACCAACUGCUCCGAGAGGAACCAAGGCGACGUGCAAGUUGGCGUCUGUGAAGCUUUGUCGGAGCCAUUUUCCUGCUCUUCCAGAGCCACAAGGAGAGCCUAAAAGUCAGGGCAGAAGCGUGUCUGGCUGUCGUACGAGAAGAAGUGUGCACGGCUGAGGAGCCAGGGCGCCAAUGGUGCGGAGUCGUUCGCCAUCAAGAGGACCAAAUCUGCCAUCAGGGACCACCGGAUCAAGCUCAACAUCUCCCUCGCCUCCGUCAACGCCCUGUCCCAGAGGGUCGUCGCCGUCCACGAUGAGCCCGCAGCUCGCUGAGCUCAUCCAAAUGCGGGCAAGGAUGUGGCGACUCAUCGGCGACGUGCACCGGAUGAUGUAGCGCAUAGCGGACGAGGUGAGCGUGCUCCUCUGGUUGUUGGCCACAUGGUUGGAGGGAGGCAUCAAGGGCUCGCUACUACCGGGGCGGACGUGCGCACAAUUUAUAUUGAUAUAUCUUAUUUUGCCAAACAACAAGAUAUAUGCUCCUGAU